rnacentral:rRNA from 1 species
CCCUUAUGACCUGGGCUACACACGUGCUACAAUGGAUGGUACAAAGGGCUGCAAGACCGCGAGGUCAAGCCAAUCCCAUAAAACCAUUCUCAGUUCGGAUUGUAGGCUGCAACUCGCCUACAUGAAGCUGGAAUCGCUAGUAAUCGCGGAUCAGCAUGCCGCGGUGAAUACGUUCCCGGGCCUUGUACACACCGCCCCGUCACACCACGAGAGUUUGUAACACCCGAAGUCGGUGGAGUAACCGUAAGGAGCUAGCCGCCUAAGGUGGGACAGAUGAUUGGGGUGAAGUCGUAACAAGGUAGCCGUAUCGGAAGGUGCGGUUGGAUCACCUCC